AAUUAAUAUUUUAUUAAUUUUGUUAAUAAGUAUAAUUUCUAAAAAAAGUAUAUUAGUUUAUUUUAUUAUUAUUUAAGAAAAAAUUAUUAUAAUUAUAGUAUAAAGUAUUGUAAAAGAAGGCUUUAAUUUUAAAAAGAAAAAUUUAAUUUUUGUACCUUGUGUAUCAGGGUUUAUUAAAUAGUAAUUAAAUAUUUAAUAGUUCUCGAAUUUAAAAGAGUUAAGUAUAAAUUUUUAAUAUUGUAGAAUAAAUAUAUAAAAUUUAUACUUAGUAAUGAAAUGUUAUUCGUUUUUAAAUUUAUCUAGUUUUUUAAGAAAAAAAUUUAAUUUUUUUAUUAAGAAUAUAAUUUUAUUUUUUUAAUAUUAUAUUAUUAAUAAUUAAUAUUUUUAGGGAUGAGCUUAAAAAUAAAGAUUUAUUAAUUAUAAAUUAUUUUAAUUAUUUAGGAUUAGAAAUUUUCAUAGUUUAAAGUAUGUUAUAAUUUAUUUAUUUUAUUAUAAAAUUUUUAUAAAUUAUAAAUUUUUUAUUAAAAUAUAAUUUUUAAUAUUUAAAAAUUAGAAAUAAUGAUAAAAUUAGUAUAAAUUUAUUAUAAUAUAUAAUAUUUAAUUUAGGUUAUUUAAAGGAAUUCGGCAAAUAUAUUUUUCACCUGUUUAUUAAAAACAUGUCCUUUUGUUAAAAUUUUAAGGUCUAGCCUGCCCACUGAAUAUUUUGAAUGGCCGCGGUAUUUUGACCGUGCUAAGGUAGCAUAAUCAUUAGUUUUUUAAUUGAAAGCUGGAAUGAAGGGUUGGAUGAAAAAAUUUCUGUCUCUAUAUAAUUUUAUUAAAAUUUUAUUUUUAAGUUAAAAAGCUUAAAUGUAUUUAAAAGACGAGAAGACCCUAUAGAGUUUAAUAAAUUAGGUUUUUAUAAAAUUUAGUAAUUGAAUUUUUAUUAUAAUAAAAUUUAUUUGAUUGGGGUGAUUAAAAAAUUUAAAUAACUUUUUUAUAUUUUAAUAUUAAUUUAUAAAUUAUUGAUCCAAAUAUUUUGAUUAUAAGAAAAAAUUACCUUAGGGAUAACAGCGUAAUUUUAUUUUAGAGUUCAAAUCGAAAAUAAAGAUUGCGACCUCGAUGUUGGAUUAAAAUUUGUAUUUGGUGUAGAAGUUAAAAUACUAAGUCUGUUCGACUUUUAAAAUUUUACAUGAUCUGAGUUUAAACCGGUGUAAGCCAGGUUGGUUUCUAUCUUUAAAUUAUUAAUAAAUUUUAGUACGAAAGGACCAAGUUUAUAUAAAGUUUAUUUUCAAUAUGAAUAAUAUU
rnacentral:rRNA from 1 species